UACAGAGGGGCAAGCGUUGUUCGGAAUUACUGGGCGUAAAGGGCGCGUAGGCGCCUUCUAAGUCGAACGUGAAAUCCCCGGGCUCAACCCGGGAACUGCGUCCGAUACUGGAAGGCUUGAAUCCGGGAGAGGGAUGCGGAAUUCCAGGUGUAGCGGUGAAAUGCGUAGAUAUCUGGAGGAACACCGGUGGCGAAGGCGGCUAUCUGGACGGUUACUGACGCUAAGACGCGAAAGCGUGGGGAGCAAACAGG
rnacentral:rRNA from 1 species